UGGGGAAUAUUGGACAAUGGGGGAAACCCUGAUCCAGCCAUGCCGCGUGUGUGAAGAAGGCCCUCGGGUUGUAAAGCACUUUCAGCGAGGAAGAACGCCUAACGGUUAAUACCCGCUAGGAAAGACAUCACUCGCAGAAGAAGCACCGGCUAACUCCGUGCCAGCAGCCGCGGUAAUACGGAGGGUGCAAGCGUUAAUCGGAAUUACUGGGCGUAAAGCGCGCGUAGGUGGCUUGAUAAGCCGGUUGUGAAAGCCCCGGGCUCAACCUGGGAACGGCAUCCGGAACUGUCAAGCUAGAGUGCAGGAGAGGAAGGUAGAAUUCCCGGUGUAGCGGUGAAAUGCGUAGAGAUCGGGAGGAAUACCAGUGGCGAAGGCGGCCUUCUGGACUGACACUGACACUGAGGUGCGAAAGCGUGGGUAGCAAACAGGAUUAGAUACCCUGGUAGUCCUGAGCGGGCUGGCAAGGCGCAU
rnacentral:rRNA from 1 species